AUGUCAUGUAUCAAGGCUGCUGGCUGCGACCCGGCCCGGCCAUGCAAAGCGUCAAUGGUGCAAGAGCACUUCAAGGCUCGCCCCGACAACACCCUCCUCGCCACGUUCCCAAAGUGCGGCACCACCUGGCUCAAGGCCCUUGCCUUCACCGUUACAAACCGCUUCGACCACGCCGCCACCAGUGACACCCACCCGCUGCUCACCCGCCACCCUCAGGAUCUCGUGCCAUUCCUUGAGAUGCCCUACCGCCAGCUCCACCCUAUCGCCGACCUUGAGAAGCUCGCCUCCCCGAGGCUCCUCGCCACCCACAUGCCGAUCACACUGCUGCCUCCGUGCGUGUCCAAGCUCGGUUGCCGUGUUGUGUACCUGUUCCGCGAUCCCAAGGAUGUGUUCGUGUCCCUAUGGCAGUUUAUCGGCAAGGUACACACGGAGUACACCAUUGAUAGAGCAUUUGAUUCGUUUUCCGAGGGGCUAUCCCCGUAUGGGCCUAUCUGGAAGCACAACCUUGAGUUCUGGAAGAAAAGCAUAGCAGAGAGUGACAAAGUUCUUUUCUUGAAGUAUGAGGAGAUGAUGGCCGAACCGGUCAAGCACGUCAAGAUGCUCGCCAAGUUCCUCGGUGUCCCCUUCACCGAGGAGGAGGUGAGAUGUGGAGUUGUAGAGGGUGUUGUGCACCUGUGUAGCUUCGAUAAGCUCAGGAGCAUGCCGGUCAACUCAUCGGGAGUAACUGAUAGGAUUGGUGGGGUGCCAAUGGAGAACUCUUCCUACUUUAGGGCCGGGAAGAUCGGUGACUGGGCAAACCACUUGACGGAAGAGAUGUCAAAGAAGCUGGAUGCCAUUGUUGAGGAGAAGCUGAGAGGAUCAGGUCUCACAUUUUGA
rnacentral:rRNA from 1 species